rnacentral:tRNA from 2 species
CGGGGUGUAGUCGAGUGGCCUCAGACAGCCGGCUUUGAACCGGUGCACACAGGUUCGAAUCCUGUCACCCCUGCCA